rnacentral:tRNA from 1 species
AGUGUAGCUUAGUGGUAGAGCACUAUUCUAUUAUGUUGGAGGCUCUGGGUCCGAUUCUCAGUACU